rnacentral:tRNA from 1 species
GCGGAAUUAGCUCAGCUGGCUAGAGCGCGACCUUGCCAAGGUCGAGGUCGCGGGUUCGAAUCCCGUAUUCCGCUCCA